UGAGCCAAGUUUAGGGUUUUCUCAAAACCCAAGCAGUAUUGAACUGAAGAGUUUGAUCAUGGCUCAGAUUGAACGCUGGCGGCAGGCCUAACACAUGCAAGUCGAGCGGAUGAAGGGAGCUUGCUCCUGGAUUCAGCGGCGGACGGGUGAGU
rnacentral:rRNA from 1 species